rnacentral:rRNA from 1 species
UAGGGAAUCUUCCGCAAUGGGCGAAAGCCUGACGGAGCAACGCCGCGUGAGUGAUGAAGGUCUUCGGAUCGUAAAACUCUGUUAUUAGGGAAGAACAAAUGUGUAAGUAACUAUGCACGUCUUGACGGUACCUAAUCAGAAAGCCACGGCUAACUACGUGCCAGCAGCCGCGGUAAUACGUAGGUGGCAAGCGUUAUCCGGGAUUAUUUGGCGUAAAGCGCGCGUAGGCGGUUUUUUAAGUCUGAUGUGAAAGCCCACGGCUCAACCGUGGGGGGUCAUUGGAAACUGGAAAACUUGAGUGCAGAAGAGGAAAGUGGAAUUCCAGGUGUAGCGGUGAAAUGCGCAGAGAUAUGGAGGAACACCAGUGGCGAAGGCGACUUUCUGGUCUGUAAAUGACGCUGAUGUGCGAAAGCGUGGGGAUCAAACAGG